rnacentral:rRNA from 1 species
AACGAACGCUGGCGGCAGGCUUAACACAUGCAAGUCGAGCGCCCCGCAAGGGGAGCGGCAGACGGGUGAGUAACGCGUGGGAAUCUACCGUGCCCUGCGGAAUAGCUCCGGGAAACUGGAAUUAAUACCGCAUACGCCCUACGGGGGAAAGAUUUAUCGGGGUAUGAUGAGCCCGCGUUGGAUUAGCUAGUUGGUGGGGUAAAGGCCUACCAAGGCGACGAUCCAUAGCUGGUCUGAGAGGAUGAUCAGCCACAUUGGGACUGAGACACGGCCCAAACUCCUACGGGAGGCAGCAGUGGGGAAUAUUGGACAAUGGGCGCAAGCCUGAUCCAGCCAUGCCGCGUGAGUGAUGAAGGCCCUAGGGUUGUAAAAUUCUUUCACCGGGGACGAUAAUGACGGUACCCGGAGAAGAAGCCCCGGCUAACUUCGUGCCAGCCGCCGCUGUAACAC